rnacentral:rRNA from 1 species
GACGAACUGCCCAAACGUUGUUCGGAAUCACUGGGCUUAAAGGGCGCGUAGGCGGCAGAUCAAGUCAGGGGUGAAAUCCGGCAGCUCAACUGUCGAAGUGCCUUUGAUACUGAUUUGCUCGAGGGAGAUAGGGGUCUGCGGAACUUCUGGUGGAGCGGUGAAAUGCGUUGAUAUCAGAAGGAACGCCGGUGGCGAAAGCGGCGGACUGGAUCUCUUCUGACGCUGAGGCGACGAAGCUAGGGGAGCAAACGGG